rnacentral:lncRNA from 1 species
ACAGUCUAGGUCUUUUAUUUUCUUUGCACUUAUCAUGCCAUGAAUUCAUAGGGAAUGAGUUCUAACAGUUGAGGCUCCUUUCCAUUGGUUCUCACAAAGUGAGCUUUUCUGGGUGGAGCAGGCUGGCGCUUCAGCUGAACAGAAGUACCUUUCUCUUUGGCUUCCUUCCCUUUGUUUGUUUGUUUGUUUCUUUCUUUCUUUUGAGCCACACCUGUGGCAUAUGGAAGUUCCCAGGCUAGGGGUUGAAUCCAGGCUACAGCUGCCAGCGUACGCCAUAGCCACAGCAACACAGGAUCCGAGCCACAUCUGCAACCUACACCACAGUGCAUGGCAAUGCCAGAUCCUUAACCCACUGAGCAAGGCCAGGGAUUGAAUCCACAUCCUCAUGGAUAUUAGUCAGGCUCGUUACCGCGGAGCUGCCAUAGGAACUUCUCCUUCUUUUUCAGAUCCUUGUCCUUCACAUGUGUCAGGAAGCUGUCUCAGAAUCUUCCUGUUUCUUUUGCUUACUCCUGGUUACUUUUUCUCUUUCCCACUGGGUGGAACUGGAGAGGUCACAUCUGGAAAAUGAUCCUUCCUGGUGCUAACACUGAGUGCCUCUCACAGCCUAACUUCCAUGUAUGGUGAUACCAUCCUCCUUCCUUCCUUCCCUUGUUCCCUUCUUCCUUCCUUCCCUCCCUCCUUUAAUUCCUUCAUCCUUUCUUAGGUUUCUUUCUUCUGGAAAAUGUCUGUUGAGCCUUGAUAUUCCAAAUCACAGCUUUGAGCCCUGGGGAGGCUUCUGUGAAUAAAGCAGAUCAAGAAGCUCCUUCCAGAGUUCCCGUUGUGGCUCAGUGGGGUAAGAAUCUGACUAGUAUCCAUGAGGAUGUGGGUUCGAUCCCUGACCUCGCUUAGUGGGUUAAGGAUCUGGUGUUGCCAUGAGCUGCGGUGUAGCUCACAGAUGCAGCUUGGCUCUGGCGUUGCUGUGGUUGUGGCGUAGGCCGGCAGCUGUAGCUCUGAUUUGACCCCCUAGGCUGGGAACCUCCAUAUGCUGCAGGUGCAGCCUUGAAAAGACAAAAAAGAAGAAGAAGCUCCUCCCAAGCACUGGGGGAAUGGGAUAGGCUGAGUGGCAGGGGGACCACUCAACCUAUCAUUCCCUUAUAUAGAAAUCUGCAAUAUGGUGUGAUCUUAUUAUUUUUUCAGUGAUUCUAAAUGCAGACCUCUGGGUAAAGAUGAGAUCAGAUGGACAGAUGAGUAGAUGAAGGAGAAACUGCUAACAGAAGGUUACAAACAAUUUCUCCUGCAAAAGCUCUCUGUAGGUUUAUCAGGCUGGGCCCAGGUAUCUUCUAAAGGUUGGAGCUAGGAUGGGGAUAAAAAAUCAUGAAGUCCAGUGCUCCCCAGAAUUUCCUCCAGUGACUUUAGGGGAAGAGAAGCAUAAAUCACUGUCCCUAAAGGAGACAGGCUUACUAUGAAGCUGCCAGAUCCAAGGGAAAUUUUUUGAAAGUAUCUUUUAUGAUUUAAAAAUUAAUGUAAUUUUUUGCAUGCUUUUCAUAACUCAUCUGUUUGUUUUCAUAUAAAACUUAUCUUCACAAAACCACAUAUGGUAUGAUUCCAUUUAUAUGAAAUGCCCAGAAUAGGCAAAUCUAUAGAGACAGAAAGUAGAUUUGCAGUUGCCUGGGGCUGCAAGGAAACCGUUGAAUUGUAGGCUUUAAAAGGGUGGGUUGUAUGUGAUGUGAAUUAUAUCUCAUAAAGCAUUUAAAAAAAAUUGUCCCUCCCAAACUUCAUGUAAAGUUGGCAUUCCAGGAAGAUAAGUAACUUGUAGCUUUUUGCAACUGAGUAAGCUGAGGUUAAAUGCACCCAUUUGAGAAGCAAGAUUCUGUUCCAAUCCCAUCAGUUUACAGAUUUAUAGAAGCCUGAGGAGGAGACAUGAUUUGCCCAAGGCUCCAGAGUUGGGAGCAGAGCCAGGUUUCCAGAGUUCCAGUCCAGGACCACAGGGUAAGCCUCCAAAGGUACUUUGCACUGAACUUGGCAUUCACCUUGUUUCACUUCCUUAAAUCGCUUACUCCCCAGGUCAGUUCGGCCACACAUGUUUCCUGGUCCACGUCAUUAGUCUUCUUCUCUUGGUUUUCUCUGGUUUUCCACAUUCUGGAUGUUCCCAGAACAUGUGGCUAAGCCUGUGGAUCCCACACCCCACCUUCCACAGGACCUGAGUGGGAGUGAUGGGUGGUGGAUGGGCCCUGCCCAUUCUUGCCUUGGGCCCCACUGAGCCCAAGGCCAGUUCUGCCUUCAAGAAGCUGUGGGAGUAAGAGCCACUAUCUUUUUAAUCAUGGAAGAACCAGUGCUAUCUGGAUGGAAUCUCAGCCAGGACACUUUCAUCCUGACCUUCCCAGCGUUAAACAAGUUGUGAACAUGAGCUGCUGCCAUCAGAUAUGGGGUAACUUGUGGCCCCCAUGGCUUGGCCUUCUCCAGAUCACCUCAUGCCCUUGAACGCAGAGCAAGGGCCUUCCCCGCCAUGCUGGACCUUCUCAGUGAGGGGCCGGCUCAGGGUGUCCCCCACCUCCUUGGGGCCUCCCUUCUGUGUGGGUCUGUGUGGUUCUUACACCCUUCUUUCAUGAGAUCUUUACAACGAUCUUGUGAAGUGGGCAAGGCAGAUACCAUUUACCUUCCUGCUUCAGAUGUGGAAAACAAGGCUUAAGAAUGCAAAUUGUUACCCAAGAUUUUUAAACCAAUAAAUGAAGGAGCUUGGGUCUGUUCUAGACUUGUAGACCAGCUCUUUCCACCACAGCCUCAGCCCAGGUGAGCAGCAGCAUGGGGAAUAGUGCAAGAGGGGGCCCAUGGCCUCAGAGGAUGGGUGGAUAUCACUCAACCAUAAAAAAGAAAAAAAUAAUGCCAUGUGCAACAACAUGUAGAGAACUGGAGAUUCUCAUACAAAGUAAAGUAAGUCAGGAGAGAAAGAGAAAUACCAUAUGAUAUCUCUUAUAUGUGGGAUUUAAGAUAUGGCACAAAUGAACCUAUCUAUAGAACAGAAACAAACUCAUAGACAUAGAGAACAGACUAGUGCUUGCCAAGUGGUGGUGUGGGAGUGGGAUGGACUGGGAAUUUGGGGUUAGUAAAUAGAAAUUAUUGCAUUUGGAGUAGAUAAGCAAUGAGGUCCCACUGUAUAGCACAGGGGACUAUAUCCAAUCUCUUGUGAUAGAACAAGAUGAAAGAUAAUAUGAGAAAAAGAACAUAUAUAAAACUGGGACAUUUUGCUGUACCACAGAAAUUGACAGAGUAUUAUAAAUAAACUAUAAUAAAAAUUUUUUUAAAGAAACAACUUGAGAGACAGCAGUUCUAAGUGUAUGCAGAAGUAUUUCCUAAUAACUGAGCCUUCCCUCUGUUUCAUAAAUGCAAGAGUUGAGGAAUGAGCACAUCCUAGGCAGGGAUGACAGUGUGAGAUAUUUCACUGGGAGAGGUUUUAACCACCACUGUCCAGCAGAUGAGCAAUUGGUCCCAGAGAUUACUCUAACAGGGAAUAGUCCUUAUAGAGACCAGUGAGGGAAACAUAGGAAGUUUGGGGUCUGGAAUUCUGGGGCCGAGCUGUCAUAUUCUCCCUGACAGGCAAGAUCCCCCACCCCACUGACAGGAGUUCCAAUGUCUCACUAUCUUUUAAUUAGAUUCAUAACAUUAAAAAGUAUCUGAUUAUAUAGUCCAGAUUUUUUAAAGCUCUUUUAAAGAGGCUUGGAAUUCUUUUUUUCCCAAAAUAAAUAAAAAUUCAUAAAUUUGAGAAAAGCAGAGUUAGAAAAAAGAAGCAUCUUGGAGGGUAAGCUUCCUCGAGCUCAAUCCUCUAAUAGUUCUGACAGCCCUUCAAAAUUCUAGAAUUCCUCUGGAAGCUACUGAUUUAAUCUCUCAUUUCACAUAUGGGAAAACUAAACAAAAUAGUAGUAAUCAUGGUUACAUUUUAUUACACCUUACUAUGUAUUCACCUCUUAAUUCUCCCAGUAACUCCCACAAGACAGGUGUUACUUUCUUGAAUUAUCAGAAGGAACUUGAGACUCAGGAAGAUUAGGCAACUUGCUUGAAGUCAUCCAGAGAAUGUGUGGAAGACGAGAGACUGAUGUCUAGGACUGUCCGAUUGCAGUCUUCUAAAUGCAGAUUUCCCAUGAAAACCAAACCUUGUAGGAGCAAGACCUUAAUGGGGACUUUAUAUAGAUUUUUUUUUUUUUUAUCCACAGAGAGCCAGCUUUCAGGAUACCUAUUUUGAACAGCAGAAGGGCCCUGAUUGAUGAUCUUCAGUGGAGGCUUUGGGUUUCCUAGAGGAGGGGUUGGUGAUUUGUCAGUGACUGAGAUGAAAGUCAGGCCAUGUUCCAAAAGUUGCCUUGAAACUGGAGCAGCAAGGAUGAGGUGCCUCCAUCCCUAACAUGGAAUCAUGCUAUCACUUGGAAUGACUUCUGCCUGGCAAUUGGCAUUCACACACGAACUUGACAUUAUAGAAGGUGAAGAACUUUGGAAGCAUCUGGUCCAACAUCCUUGUUUUAUAGAUUUAAAAACUGGUAGUUGGAGUGGCAAAAGAGGAGGAGGAGAAGAGGAGAUGGCCCAAGGUAGCCAGAGCCCCCAGUAGCAUGGGGGUCAUGGGAGGAGCACAUCAGUAACAGCAGCCAUGGCUCUUUCAGCCGCCAACUACUGAAUGAGAACCUAUCAUGUGUCAGACACUGUUCUGGGGUGUGGGAUACAUGUCUGAGCAAAACAUAAAGACCUCUGCCCUCAUGGAGCUUCCUGCCCAAUGGCUGAGCCCAACACUACAAAGUCAUCCUAAUGGUGGUCUUCCAAGUUUGUUGACCAUGCAAUCCGGGAGUACAAAGUUUUUGAUACUGUUCUUCCACCAUAAGUCUAUUUAUUUAUAAAUUAUAUACAUGUCCAUCUAUACUAUUCUAUAUUAUGUAUAUUUAAAUUUAUGCCCAAACAGGAAAAUUUAAAGAAUGAACUCAAAAUAUAUAGAAAAAUAUAUUGAAAAAUAUAGAAGUCGUAAUAUUUUUUUCCUCUCCCCAGUCAGACUGUAUUAGGAAUAGACUUGGAGCACUCACUUUGGAGAAUUCUGGACCAGCCCUCUUAUAAGCUAGGAAAUUUAGGAAUUCUGAGGUUAAAUGUUCAAUUUUAGAUUAUUUUUUUAUUCAGAGUUGCAGCCUUUUCUUAUACUAUCAAUAAUUCAACUUAAAAAAUAUUGUGGCUGAAUGUA